UAAUAAGUGCGGUCGCGACUCCUGCGGC
rnacentral:sRNA from 1 species